rnacentral:rRNA from 1 species
UACGUAGGGUGCGAGCGUUGUCCGGAAUUAUUGGGCGUAAAGAGCUCGUAGGCGGUGUGUCGCGUCGGCCGUGAAAACCUGGGGCUUAACUCUGGGCGUGCGGUCGAUACGGGCAUCACUGGAGUUCGGCAGGGGAGACUGGAAUUCCUGGUGUAGCGGUGAAAUGCGCAGAUAUCAGAAGGAACACCGGUGGCGAAGGCGGGUCUCUGGGCCGAUACUGACGCUGAGGAGCGAAAGCAUGGGUAGCGAACAGG